rnacentral:piRNA from 1 species
UCGCGUUGAUUUUCGAAGCUU